AGGACGAACGCUGGCGGCGUGCUAACACAUGCAAGUCGAGCGGAAGGCCCCUCGGGGUACUCGAGCGGCGAACGGGUGAGUAACACGUGGGCAACCUGCCCCAAAGCCCGGGAUAACGUUUCGAAAGGAACGCUAAUACCGGAUGUGGUGCAACCUGCCAAGUGGGUUGUACUAAAGGUAGCUUCGGCCUCCGCUUUGGGAUGGGCCCGCGCAGCAUUAGCUUGUUGGUGGGGUAACGGCCUACCAAGGCGACGAUGCUUAGCUGGUCUGAGAGGACGAUCAGCCACACUGGGACUGAGACACGGCCCAGACUCCUACGGGAGGCAGCAGUGGGGAAUCUUGCGCAAUGGGCGAAAGCCUGACGCAGCAACGCCGCGUGAGCCGAAGAAGGCCUUCGGGUUGUAAAGCUCUGUCAGGAGGGACGAAGCCACUCGGGUUAAUAGCCCAGAGGGUGACGGUACCUCCAGAGGAAGGUCCGGCUAACUACGUGCCAGCAGCUGC
rnacentral:rRNA from 1 species